CCCGAGACUAGAGUCACAUCCUGGCACUGCUGGUUGCCUUGGUGUGCUAGAGUACUCGGAGAGAAACUACUGAUCUUUAUUCACUGGUUGAUUAUAUUGUGAAUCCACCAGUCACCGGCUCAGUUACACUU